AUAGGACUGAAUCAGGUGUUUGUGUAGGACUGAAUCAGGUGUGUUUGUGUAGGACUGAAUCAGGUGUGUUUGUGUAGGACUGAAUCAGGUGUGUUUGUGUAGGGCUGAAUCAGGUGUGUUUGUGUAGGGCUGAAUCAGGUGUAUAGGACUGAAUCAGGUGUGUUUGUGUAGGGCUGAAUCAGGUGUGUUUGUGUAGGGCUGAAUCAGGUGUUUGUGUAGGACUGAAUCAGGUGUGUUUGUGUAGGACUGAAUCAGGUGUGUUUGUGUAGGGCUGAAUCAGGUGUGUUUGUGUAGGGCUGAAUCAGGUGUGUUUGUGUAGGACUGAAUCAGGUGUUUGUGUAGGACUGAAUCAGGUGUGUUUGUGUAGGGCUGAAUCAGGUGUGUUUGUGUAGGGCUGAAUCAGGUGUUUGUGUAGAACUGAAUCAGGUGUGUUUGUGUAGGACUGAAUCAGGUGUGUUUGUGUAGGGCUGAAUCAGGUGUGUUUGUGUAGGGCUGAAUCAGGUGUUUGUGUAGGACUGAAUCAGGUGUGUUUGUGUAGGACUGAAUCAGGUGUGUUUGUGUAGGGCUGAAUCAGGUGUGUUUGUGUAGGACUGAAUCAGGUGUGUUUGUGUAGGACUGAAUCAGGUGUGUUUGUGUAGGGCUGAAUCAGGUGUGUUUGUGUAGGACUGAAUCAGGUGUGUUUGUGUAGGACUGAAUCAGGUGUGUUUGUGUAGGGCUGAAUCAGGUGUGUUUGUGUAGGGCUGAAUCAGGUGUGUUUGUGUAGGGCUGAAUCAGGUGUGUUUGUAUAGGGCUGAAUCAGGUGUGUUUGUGUAGGACUGAAUCAGGUGUGUUUGUGUAGGACUGAAUCAGGUGUGUUUGUGUAGGGCUGAAUCAGGUGUGUUUGUGUAGGGCUGAAUC